ACACACACACACACACACAGCCGUGACGUUAAGACGCGCGUCAGGAUUUUCCCGUGAUCCUUUGCUCCAGCUUGUCUCUGACCUCUGUGGGCUGUGUGCUAAAAGACGGUCCGAAAUGGUGCCUCCUGUGCAGGUUUCUCCUCUCAUCAAGACAGCCAGGUACUCGGCUCUGAUUGUGGGGAUCAUCUACGGCAAAAAGCGCUAUGAUUACCUGAAGCCCAUAGCAGCCGAGGAGAGGAGGAUUGAGGAGGAGGAAAAGAAAGUGAGGGAGGAACAGGAACGCAUCGCUAAACAGCUGGCUGAAGCAAAUGAAGACACGAUCCUGAAGUGAGCGCUCUGCCGUGUUUGUGUUUAUGGACCCGUUCUGGAGGUCAAGACGUUCUUCUCUUUAUCCCUCACCUUCUUCUUCUUCCACAUUAUCACCUGCUGUUUUACAAUGAAUAAGAUUUCUCUGUGUUAGUAAAAUUACAUCACGAUCCCUGACCAUCUGGACACCCGAGUGUUUCUUUCCCUCACAGUGACCAUGAACAUGGUCGGUACCGGACGUCUCGGAGGACCAGAACACACACACACACACACACUUCAUGUCUGAUGUUCGUUAUUAACUCCUCAAUGACAUGGUAAAGAUCUUCAUGUGUGACCCGUUUGUCAGGAGUAUUUGGAAAUAAAUAAUGUUCUCUAAUCAA